rnacentral:rRNA from 1 species
ACUCAAAUGAAUAGACGGGGGCCCGCACAAGCAGCGGAGCGUGUGGUUUAAUUCGACGCAACGCGCAGAACCUUACCAGGGUUUGACAUUGCUCUGCAAGCCGUGGAGACACGGUCCUCCCGCAAGGGACGGAGUGACAGAUGCUGCAUGGCUGUCGUCAGCUCGUGCCGUGAGGUGUUGGGUUAAGUCCCGCAACGAGCGCAACCCGCGUGGCUAGUUACACUCUCUAGCCAGACUGCCGCGACUAACGCGGAGGAAGGUGCGGAUGACGUCAAGUCAGCACGGCUCUUACAUCCUGGGCUACACACACGCUACAAUGGGCGGUACAACGGGCAGCGAAGCCGCGAGGCGAAGCCAAUCCCAUCAAAGCCGCCCCCAGUUCAGAUCGCAGUCUGCAACCCGACUGCGUGAAGGCGGAGUUGCUAGUAACCGCAGGUCAGCACACUGCGGUGAAUACGUUCCCGGGCCUUGUACACACCGCCCGU